rnacentral:rRNA from 1 species
AUACGGAGGGUCCAAGCGUUAUCCGGAUUCAUUGGGUUUAAAGGGUCCGCAGGCGGGAAAAUAAGUCAGUGGAGAAAGCCUACAGCUCAACUGUAGAACUGCCAUUGAUACUGUUUUUCUUGAGUAUAGAUGAAGUGGGCGGAAUAUAUCAUGUAGCGGUGAAAUGCAUAGAUAUGAUAUAGAACACCGAUUGCGAAGGCAGCUCACUAAACUAUUACUGGCGCUCAGGGACGAAAGCGUGGGGAGCGAACAGGAUUAGAAACCCUAGUAGUCC